rnacentral:sRNA from 1 species
CGACUAAGGUUCGAUUCGAGCGACAGCGAGAAAGCGUUGCCGCAGGCAACGACCCGAAGGGCG